rnacentral:rRNA from 1 species
CAGGACGAACGCUGGCGGCGUGCCUAACACAUGCAAGUCGAGCGAGGAGAUCCUUCGGGAUGAUCCUAGCGGCGGACGGGUGAGUAACACGUGGGCAACCUGCCUCAUAGAGAGGAAUAGCCUUCCGAAAGGGAGAUUAAUACCUCAUAACAUUGCAGUUUCGCAUGGAACAGCAAUUAAAGGAGCAAUCCGCUAUGAGAUGGGCCCGCGGCGCAUUAGCUAGUUGGUGAGGUAACGGCUCACCAAGGCGACGAUGCGCAGCCGACCUGAGAGGGUGAUCGGCCACAUUGGGACUGAGACACGGCCCAGACUCCUACGGGAGGCAGCAGUGGGGAAUAUUGCACAAUGGGGGAAACCCUGAUGCAGCCAACGCCGCGUGAGUGAUGACGGCCUUCGGGUUGUAAAGCUCUGUCUUCAGGGACGAUAAUGACGGUACCUGAGAAGGAAGCCACGGCUAACUACGUGCCAGCAGCAGC